rnacentral:lncRNA from 1 species
AUAGCGUUAAAUUUGUCCUGAAAGCAAGUCAUUUUCAUAAUGAGAUUGUAAGUCUCUUAUUCCUCAUGGUAUUGUGUGAAAAAUAUUGUUUCCUUUCAUCUAUGAGAUCUAAUAGCAUACUUGUUGAUUUUUUCCAAGUUGGAGCCCUUUUCAUGGUGAUGUAAAGGUCCAUAUUUUCAUACUUAUGGGUGUAUAGUUGAG